rnacentral:rRNA from 1 species
CUACGGGGGGCAGCAGUGGGGAAUAUUGCACAAUGGGCGCAAGCCUGAUGCAGCCAUGCCGCGUGUAUGAAGAAGGCCUUCGGGUUGUAAAGUACUUUCAGCGGGGAGGAAGGGAGUAAAGUUAAUACCUUUGCUCAUUGACGUUACCCGCAGAAGAAGCACCGGCUAACUCCGUGCCAGCAGCCGCGGUAAUACGGGGGUGGCAAGCGUUAAUCGGAAUUACUGGGCGUAAAGCGCACGCAGGCGGUUUGUUAAGUCAGAUGUGAAAUCCCCGGGCUCAACCUGGGAACUGCAUCUGAGACUGGCAAGCUUGAGUCUCGUAGAGGGGGGUAGAAUUCCAGGUGUAGCGGUGAAAUGCGUAGAGAUCUGGAGGAAUACCGGUGGCGAAGGCGGCCCCCUGGACGAAGACUGACGCUCAGGUGCGAAAGCGUGGGGAGCAAACAGGAUUAGAUACCCGCGUAGUC